rnacentral:rRNA from 1 species
UACGGAGGAUGCGAGCGUUAUCCGGAUUUAUUGGGUUUAAAGGGUGCGUAGGCGGAUCGUUAAGUCAGUGGUCAAAUUGAGGGGCUCAACCCCUUCCCGCCAUUGAAACUGGCGAUCUUGAGUGGAAGAGAAGUAUGCGGAAUGCGUGGUGUAGCGGUGAAAUGCAUCGAUAUCACGCAGAACCCCGAUUGCGAAGGCAGCAUGCCGGCUUCCUACUGACGCUGAAGCACGAAAGCGUGGGGAUCGAACAGG